ACUCUUUUAGUAUAAACAGUACUAUUAACUUCCAAUUAAUCAGCUUCGACAAGACUCGAAAAAGAGUA